AUGUCGAAUCUGGCUGCGGAAGUGGCCGAGGAGGCCCUCGAGCUCGGCAUGCUUGCGCCAGCUCUAGGCUCCGUCGGAGGCGUACGCGAAGGCGCGGGACUUGCACGCCUCUCCUCUGCCCUACUCCUUCGAAUCCAGUCGCAGAACUGCUCGAGGAGGCGCUCGAGCUUGGCGUGCUCACCAGCGACGUCGGGCCCCUCCCUCCUCCUGAUGCCCUCACCGUCGCCGCCAUGA
rnacentral:rRNA from 1 species